GGGAGGGAGAGUCUGGGGCCCGGAGAGGGACGGUGCAGGAUCAGGGAAAGCAGCCACGAGCAACCUGGAAUUUCUAUCUUUAGACCGAACCAAAGGAGCAGGGCGCCGGACCCGGAGAAGAAGCGGCGACCUAUUUACUUCUCCUUGUAAAAAAGUCCUCCAAGAGUGCUGUGGCCACUGCAGCGUGGAGGAGUCUCUUGUCUACCUCACUCUGCAGGGGUCAUAGGAAUUUUAUAAUUUAUUUGACAUCAAUUUGUGAAUGGGCAGACUGGGACUAGAACCUGUCCCUCCUGGAAUUCUGGAAACCUUUGCAGUGAUCAAGGGCUGCAGACAACAAAGAACAGAAAGCACUCCAGACAGAGGUUCACCUUGAGAAAAGAGUAGACUGUCCUAGUGACCCGGUGACGUACCUGUGCUGCUGGGAUAAGGGUCAGCUAUGUGAGGCUGAACAAAAAAGAACUGUCUCCUUGGCGCUCAAGAAUAUGCUGGAUAGCUGGGAAGGAGAAAGAAGAAGCAUCAUGCCGAAAAGCACAGAAGUCUGCAUGUUUAUAUUGUUAAUCUGAGGAUGGCAGAUCAUCCAGUGUGCCUGCCUGCAAAAUGACGUGUGGGAAAGAGAGAUGGAUGAAGACCCAAGUGAUGAACUAUGAAGACCCAGGAGGCCAGGCUCAGGGGUCCUUGCUUUAUGGAAAGGAUAAGAUGUAAAAAGAAAAGUGGUCAAGAAAAUUUAUCACUGAAGCUCUCUCUCACUGACCCACGUGCUUUGGAGUAGCUAUUUUCCUGAGUCGUUGUCCAGUGCCCUGCGGGCCGGUGGGAGCCGUGCUCGGAAGCAGUCACAUUGUCAUGGUGAGACAGACCCUCCUUGAGGGUAAUCCAGGAGCAGCCCUCGCUAAGAUGGAGAGACCUUCCUGGAGACAUCUGUCUCUUGAUGCGAACGGACCAUUUCUCUUCUCAGCUGGAGUCCAAUCUAAUAUAAGUGGUUUUAAUAAUGGGGAAAGGGAGCAUAUGUAACCCUCACACAUUUGGAUGAUCUUUGCCAGGUCUUCAGCUCUGAGCAGAAUAGCAGCUUAAGCCAAAGGUAACUGAAACUGACUUGUCCUAGAGGGCACAGCCGAAAGAGACGUUUUACUGCUCCUGAGCUCUCUUGGGGUGACCUUUCCUGUCCUUACUUAAUCAUGCAAGGCUGGCUUUUUUUUGAACCUGUGAGCUACCCAGAAUCUUUCCAAUAAGUUCUUUUGUUUACCUAAGGUGGCCAGAGAUGCUUAUAAGAAAAGAGUGUCACACGGUUCUUUCCAUUUGGAAUGCCUUCCCUCCACCCAACUCUAUUUCCAGCUUCGCUCCCUACAUCUAGCCCAUUUUACUUUCUUGACUCAAUGAGAUGGUCUACUUUUUCUCCCUUAGAGUUCUUCCUUGCUGGUUGCCUGGUUGGCAAAUCAGAAAUUGCUCUAAUUUACCACAGUGAACUUUCAACGUCAGAGCUAUAGUUAGAUUUUUCUCUCCUGGUAUCUCUGCUAGCCCGAUGUGAUGAUUAAAUCUAGGAAACCAGAACUCACCGUUCUCUAUGCUGAUGUAGACGGCUGUCUUUAACCUUUGGUAAACCCAUAAAUUAUGCAAAAAGCUAAAGAAAAGUUAGAGCAAUGUUAAAUUGUUCGGUUUCAGGGUGGUGUAUCAAAAAUUGAUUGUCACAGCAAUUCUCCCUAAUAAACAGCAACAGUCCGACAUGUGGGAUACGACAAGAGUUUAUUCAGCUUCCGGGUCUGCAGGGUCAGCCAGUCAGGCUUGGCUUGGGCUCAUCUCAUGUGUUUACUGUCAGCUGUAGGUUGAGAAGGGCUUUGCUGACCUUGGCUAGGCUCUCUUCCAAGUCUGGGUGGCUUCUGUGAUGGCCUUGAGUAGCAAGACUGGGCAGCUCAAGUCUGGUCCUUUUGUCUCUCAUUCUCCUCCUGAUGCAAGAGGGCUGAUCGGGGCAUGUCCUACUAAUAGCAGUGGCAGAAGUAAGCUCAGUCAUGCAAGGGCCUUUCAUGUCUUUGUUUGCGUCAUACUCAUCAUUAUCUUGUUGACCUAAGCAGGUCAAAUGGCUAAGCACAGAAUGGGAGAUCACUUUGAGUUACAGACAAAGGUUGUAGACACAGGGAGGAGAGACAAAGUGGGGACCUUACUACCUUUGAGCUAUCACAGGGGUAGCUUUUUUUUCCUUCUGCUUUUCUGCAUUUUAUGAUCUUUCUACAAAAAAAAAACAAAACCAGAACCCCACAGCUGGUUUAAUACAGAAAACUUUCCAAACUAGAGCAGAUUGAAAUUGAUGAAAACUUAGAAAUAAUUCUCUGUAUUAUAUACGUUUGGCUGUUCCAUUGGCUAAAUUACAUAGUCAUUUAUUAAAAUUUGCCAAAGCAGCUAACCUGCUUGGGAGCUCAGGUUAUUCUCACAUUGGAUAAGUACAUCUUUCCCUGUUUCCAUUCUCUGUGGCUAGAGCUGACAAUUAAAUGCUGAAAUUUAUUUCUCUUGUAGAUUUGAAUGUACAAGUAAUACUCUGGCUAGGAUUAAGUGCUGUGAGCUGUCUUGCCAGGGACUGAACCCAAUGAACUUCUCUAUUUCUAUAAGCUGUUCACAGUGAGUUUGGAAUUCCAUAAAACUAGAAGACAAAGCACCAGAUUUUACUCAUUUAUCUUCUUUUUACAUCAGCUUUUUAGUGUCCAAGAGAUCAUCAUGUUUUUGGAAGGACACGAGGCAUGUAAUUUGGGUUUAGUUGAAGAAGUUUGUCAUUUUUGCACUGUACCUUAUAGCUGAAAUGUUCAGACUCUGGUCGUGGAACAGAAUUUACCAUGACGUUGGUCCAAUUAUCAAGUUUGAAAGAAAGGCCACCUCAUCAGAGAGAUCUUUCUAGAUUAUCCUCGAAAAUGUCUACUCUCUGCUAUCUAUCAUUCUCUAGCUCCCUCUUCAUAGUUCUUUCACACAGCUACCACCAUUCAUAGUUAUUUAAUUAUUUGACAUUUUGUUGGUUUGUUUUUCUGUCUACUUCACCUGAAUGUAAGCUCCUUAAUGUAAGCAGGGAUCAUACUUGUCCUGUGCCUAGUGGCCUUCCUCAUGCCUAGCACAGUGCCUGGAAUGACAUGUGUAUUAUUUGAAGGAAGCGCCAUUAUAAUUUAAACAUUUACAUUAAGAACCAUAUGUGUUAAUUACCCAACUCAUACUUUUUUAAACCUUGGUUGUAAGAUAAAAGAAACAAGUGACACUGUUUUUUCUUUCUUGCUAAAAAUAGACUGUUAUGCAUUCCUUCUAGAGGCCCCAUUGAAAGUACUUUCAACAUACACCUAGUUAAUCAGAAGUGACCCCAACUUUUUGGUAGUGACAGUGGUUACAGUGUCAGAACAGAAGUACAGAUGACUCUAAGAAAUUCACGAUGAGUCAGCUCUCUGGGACUCAUGGGCACUGGUGUACAGGCAUGACAAACUUUCCUGAUUCUGAAGGAAAUCUGUAACUUGGAAUCUGCUCAAUAAAAUAUUGCUCCACUGUAUGGGCUAACCUGGGGAUGUGUUUGUAUGGGUGUAUUUGUGUGAUUAAGAUUAUGUGAAGAGAGAUGAAAAGGUCACAAGCUGAGUGGCUUAAACAUAGAAAUUAUUUCUCACAUUUCUGGAGGCUAGAAGUUUGAUCAAGGUGUCUGCAAGUUUGGUUUCUUCUGAGAGCCGUGAGGGAAGGAUCUGUCCCAGGCUUCUCUCCUUGACUCUUAGAUGGUCUUCUGCCUUUGUCUUUACAUCUCCUUCCCUCUACAUGUCUCUGUGUUUAGAUUCCUCUUCUUACAAGGACACUGGUCAUAUUGAAUUAAGGCUCACCUGCAUGGCCUUAUUCCAACUGAAUUAUCUCUUUAAGGGCUGUUUCCAUAUACAGCCCCAUUCUGAGGUACUGGGGUUAGGACUUCAGUGUAUGGGUUUUGGGGAAAGCACAAGUCAGCCCAUGACAGCUGGUCUCCUGCAGAGUCAUCCCUCUUGAUAUUGUGGAACCAGGGCCACAGAGCAUCAAGGCCAUGGCCCCAUCAGCAUGAGGAGUUCAUCUAAGCAGGUGGAUCCGGGCUGAGACUCUAAGUCCUACGAGUUCACAGAGACAGGGUCUUCUCAAAACCCUGCUGAGUUUCCCAAAUCUGCUUGUCUGGUCCUUCCAAUUGGUUCCUCAAUGCACAUCCAGUUGCCCUAUAUCUUCGUCUGCACGGGUGGUGACUGGAUAUUCUGCUUAGCUCUUGACAACCUUCUUUCCUUUGGGUGGAGGCUCUCACCGGGGGGGUCAUCAGAAUCACUUCACCGUUCUUCACUUCUAGAGCUUCUUCCAUAAAGAGGAAAAAGAACAGGUAUAUUUCCAGUAAAACAAACAAAAAACAUCAAUUGAAUCUUACUUUAUCACCUCCCGAAGCAAUAAUAAAAUAAUAAUGAUAAUACCAUUUAUUGACUAUUCACUAAAUGCCAAGCAUAACUCUAACCAGGUAGAUAUCACUUCUAUCCCUGCUUCUCAGGUAAGAAAACUGAGUCUUAGAAUGCCAGAGCAGAUUAUUCACUAGUCACACAACUAGUGAAUGGUUGGCAUAGCACUUGAACUUGGUUAUGCCUGAAACUUGAGCAUACUUUGCUAUAUUGUUAGCUUUUCACUCCAAACUUACAUCUAUAACCAGUAGUCUCUUAACUCGGGUAGGCUGGUUUCUGGCCACCUUCCCCAUUUUGCCAGACCGUUUGGAAUCCCAGUAUGUCUUGAGGAAAAUCCUCAUGAUAGGACACAGCUGCUGGCUUCUGUGAAAGGUCCAGCCCUCAGCCUGCUGUCCCCCUUUACGUCCUCGCAUCUGCUUCGCUGUCUCUUGUCCCACUGUCUGUCCUUUCCAUUUUAAACAUCAUCUUCUAAAACACCGAUCAGAUUGUCAAGAGAACUAAAAUUUUCAUUGGCAAAAUAAUGAGUGUUUUGUGCUAUAAUCUAAAGUGCUCCCAGUAGUCAACUCUUAGGAAAAUCUGGCUCUUAAUGCAGACAUGGUAUUUGCAGCCCCAAAUCUGCCCAAUUACAGUACUGGUCAUAGAAAAACCUUUUUAAAAUCCACACCUCAUAAUAUGCUAUUGAGGGAAAAUGCUUCUUACCAAUUUUCAUAAAAUCUUGUCUUUUGCACAACAAUAAAAGGCAGU